rfam:Schistosoma curassoni strain Dakar, Senegal genome assembly, scaffold: SCTD_scaffold0000056
CUUCAUCUGACGAGUCCAAAAUAGGACGAAACGCGUGUUCCGGAU